UGACAUCAACAUAAAAUACCUAAUUUUUUUUUCAAUAAAAAUAAGUGGAGAUCAACAAAUUUAUUAAACAAAACAAGCACAAGAAAUUUAAAAAAACAAAACAAAAACAUUAAAAAAAGGAAAAAUAUUUUUUUUAAAAAACAAAAAAUAAACACAUAUGAACAAAAAUAAAGAAGUUUAAAACAAAAAUGAAUAAAAAUAAAUGAAGAAACACACGAAAAUGUCCUUGAAAAAAUAAAAAAGAUGAAGUUGAAGGAGAGAGAAAACAUUAUUGGAGUUGAUUUGGGGGUGCUAGGAUCAAUAAAUAUAAUAUACACAAUAAAUACAUUUGAUAAGUGGUAAUUACUGUUUAUCUAAUUAAUUUAAUAUUUUAUAUAUUCGGAAGGACAUAUUUAACAUCACAGUAAAAUUUAACAGUGCAGGAAGAAAUAUUUAGGUACAUGAAGAAAGCCCCUGCCUAAAGAUACAUAUAUUUGUAGUUGGGCUUAGAUUUGAGGCGAGGUAACACCUAGCCCAAGACGUGUGGAUUGAGCUGACUACUUAAUAGGCCCAUCUAUUAUUUGACAUGGUCCUCUG
rnacentral:lncRNA from 1 species